rnacentral:rRNA from 1 species
UACGAAGGGAGCUAGCGUUGUUCGGAAUCACUGGGCGUAAAGCGCACGUAGGCGGAUGUGUCAGUCAGGGGUGAAAUCCUGGAGCUCAACUCCAGAACUGCCUUCGAUACUGGGAGUCUCGAGUUCGGGAGAGGUGAGUGGAACUGCGAGUGUAGAGGUGAAAUUCGUAGAUAUUCGCAAGAACACCAGUGGCGAAGGCGGCUCACUGGCCCGAUACUGACGCUGAGGUGCGAAAGCGUGGGGAGCAAACAGG